rnacentral:tRNA from 1 species
UCUUCGAUGGUCUAGUGGUCAUGAUUUCCGCUUGUCAAACUCACAAGUCAACAAGCGCGGGAGACCGGGGUUCGAUUCCCCGUCGGAGAG